CAUUUCAGAAUUGUUUAACCUUUCACCGGUCAAAACAUUACCAGACUGUUUCCUUAAUUCAUCCUCAGGACAAACCUCUGUGACCAGCACUCCAGCCACCGGACCUUGAGCAACAUUAUGGCUGGCCCCACUUGAUGUACAGACCAGGCCAAGAGAAGUGUCUGAGGACACGGUCAUAAGUCUUCCGGAUGCCCAGGUGCCCUGCCACCGUGUAGUCAUGAGCCAGCGACAACACCUGCUGACGAAACAGUGUGGGCAACACAACCUGGUAUGCGCUCGACUGAAGGUGGAGGAGACUUGUCCUUUUUGUUGGGAGGCAGUGGGUCUGGAUCACACACAGCUUGAUAUAAGGAUGACACAUCAUAUACGUUCUUCCUUUUUCUUUCCUGCGCACGUGUCACAACACACGCAGGAAACACUGACCCGUCUGUCUCUGUUCCAGUGUAG
ensembl:lncRNA